AAAGAAACCAACAGGGAUUGCCCUAGUAACGGCGAGUGAAGCGGCAACAGCUCAAAUUUGAAAUCUGGCCCUCGGGUCCGAAUUGUAAUUUGUAGAGGAUGCUUUUGGUGAGGUACCUUCCGAGUUCCCUGGAACGGGACGCCAUAGAGGGUGAGAGCCCCGUCUGGUUGGAUACCGAUCCUCUGUAAAGCUCCUUCGACGAGUCGAGUAGUUUGGGAAUGCUGCUCUAAAUGGGAGGUAUAUGUCUUCUAAAGCUAAAUAUUGGCCAGAGACCGAUAGCGCACAAGUAGAGUGAUCGAAAGAUGAAAAGCACUUUGAAAAGAGAGUUAAAAAGUACGUGAAAUUGUUGAAAGGGAAGCGCUCAUGACCAGACUUGGGCUUGGUUGAUCAUCCAGGGUUCUCCCUGGUGCACUCUUCCAGCCCAGGCCAGCAUCAGUUCGCUGUGGGGGAUAAAGGCUUUGGGAAUGUGGCUCCUCCGGGAGUGUUAUAGCCCAUUGUGUAAUACCCUGUGGUGGACUGAGGUUCGCGCAUCUGCAAGGAUGCUGGCGUAAUGGUCAUCAGCGACCCGUCUUGAAACACGGACCAAGGAGUCGUCUUCGUAUGCGAGUGUUCGGGUGUUAAACCCCUACGCGUAAUGAAAGUGAACGCAGGUGAGAGCUUCGGCGCAUCAUCGACCGAUCCUGAUGUUCUCGGAUGGAUUUGAGUAAGAGCAUACGGGGCCGGACCCGAAAGAAGGUGAACUAUGCCUGUAUAGGGUGAAGCCAGAGGAAACUCUGGUGGAGGCUCGCAGCGGUUCUGACGUGCAAAUCGAUCGUCAAAUAUGGGCAUGGGGGCGAAAGACUAAUCGAACCUUCUAGUAGCUGGUUUCCGCCGAAGUUUCCCUCAGGAUAGCAGUGUUGAACUCAGUUUUAUGAGGUAAAGCGAAUGAUUAGGGACUCGGGGGCGCUAUUUAGCCUUCAUCCAUUCUCAAACUUUAAAUAUGUAAGAAGCCCUUGUUACUUAAUUGAACGUGGGCAUUUGAAUGUAUCAAC
rnacentral:rRNA from 1 species